CAGCCGCCACGGUAAUACGAAGGGGGCUAGCGUUGUUCGGAUUUACUGGGCGUAAAGGGCGCGUAGGCGGGCGAUUUAGUCAGGGGUGAAAUCCCAAGGCUCAACCUUGGAACUGCCUUUGAUACUGAUCGUCUUGAGUUCGAGAGAGGUAAGUGGAACUGCGAGUGUAGAGGUGAAAUUCGUAGAUAUUCGCAAGAACACCAGUGGCGAAGGCGGCUUACUGGCUCGAUACUGACGCUGAGGCGCGAAAGCGUGGGGAGCAAACAGGAUUAGAUACCCCUGUAGUCCCUGUCUCUUAUAC
rnacentral:rRNA from 1 species